rnacentral:rRNA from 1 species
GGCCUUUUGUAAAAUUUUUAAGGUCUGGCCUGCCCACUGAUAACUUAUUGAAGGGCCGCAGUAUUUUGACUGUGCUAAGGUAGCAUAAUCAUUAGUUUUUUAAUUGAAAGCUAGUAUGAAAGGUUUAAUGAAAAAAUUACUGUCUUUAAUUAAUUUAAUUAGAAUUUUAUUUUUAAGUUAAAAAGCUUAAAUGGUUUUAAAAGACGAGAAGACCCUAUAGAGUUUGAUAUAUUAAAAAUUAUUUAAUUUUAGAAUUUUUAUUAUAUAUUUUUUAAUAUAUUUAAUUGGGGUGAUUAAAAAAUUUAAAAAACUUUUUUUUUAUAAGAAUAUAAAUUAAUAAGUAAAUGAUCCAGAUUUUUUGAUUAUAAGAAUAAAUUACCUUAGGGAUAACAGCGUAAUUUUAUUAGAGAGUUCAAAUCGAUAAUAAAGAUUGCGA